rnacentral:rRNA from 1 species
UACGAAGGGGGCUAGCGUUGCUCGGAAUCACUGGGCGUAAAGCGCACGUAGGCGGAUUGCUAAGUCAGGGGUGAAAUCCUGGAGCUCAACUCCAGAACUGCCCUUGAUACUGGCGGUCUCGAGUCCGGGAGAGGUGAGUGGAACUGCGAGUGUAGAGGUGAAAUUCGUAGAUAUUCGCAAGAACACCAGUGGCGAAGGCGAACUUACUGGACACAUAUUGACGCUGAGGUGCGAAAGCGUGGGGAGCAAACAGGAU